UGACGGCAUUACCAGACAGUAUUAGACAGAAAUACCCAGAUCUAACUUUGCCUGGUAAGACAGCAAUCAGCAGGCUCCAAGAAAUUCCACUUUUAUUUAUUUAUUUUUAAUUUUUUUUUUUUUUCCCAUAUCCAGCACUGUUAAAUUAUUCCAAAGAAAAAUGCUCAGCAAUUCCCAGGAAAUUCCUGAACUCGUCCUCCUUGCUCUCAGGCAGGGGAAUGAUGGAAAUUCCCAUUUUUCCACUCAGUUUUCCAGGACUUACCGUGCGUGGGAUUCCUCUGGAGCAGCUCCCAGAAAAUUUGGGAUGCUCCUCAUCCAGAAAUUCCUCUUGCUCAGGUAGAAUUUUGUAGGAUUCAGACCCCAAAAAGCUCCUAAACCACCCCAAAAUCAGCGCAGUGGGUUUAAGGAAGGGGGAGGGAAGUGAAGGAAAAGGGAAUUUUCUGGGUUUUUUCCUGGCUCUGGGAUGGGUUUUUCCCUCAGCACAGUGAAAUUUUCCUCUUUUUUUUUUUUUUUUUUAAGAUCACAAUUCCCAUUGGAAUUUUCUCCUUUUUUUAAAAAUCAGGAUUUAUUUCCCCAAUUCCAAGUUUAAAGAGGGGGAUGGGCCCCAAUCCCACGGAUUUACGGCCUCGUUAAAAUUCCAAUUUCCAGAAUUCCUCCCCCAUUUCCUCCAGGGCCUCCCGGAGCAGUUACUCAUUAACACCUUUAAUUAAUUAAUCACCCUCUGCUUCCUCCUUUCCUGCUUUUCCUGGGAAUUUCAACCUCCAAGGGCAAACCCAGCUCGUUCCAGUGUGGAUUUAGGGCAGCUCCUUCCAAGCUCCCCACUUGGGAAAUCAUUUUACAGGAAUUAUAAUUUUAAUUCUGAAUAUUUUUAAUUAUGAACCGUUCCUAACUUUAAUUAUGAACUAAUUCAUUUUUCCCUGACUUCCUGCAUUAUCCAGGAAUUUUAGCUAGGAAUCUUAAGCCUGGUUUAGUGCAAAACAGGGAAAAAGGGAUUUCAAGUUUUUUAGGGAUGAGGGGAGAGAAUUUUGGGAUGGAAAGGGGAAUCAGGAGGAAUUUUGCUGUGGAAAAGGGGCUGAAAUCUGGGAUUGGGAGGAAUAUUUUGGGAUGGGAAAGGGAAUUUCUCCAUGCAAAAGGAAAUCUGGGAUUGGGAGGAAUUUUGGGAUGGAAAAGGGGGAAUCAGAGGGAAUUUCUCCAUGGAAAAUGAGCUGAAAUCUGGGAAUGGGAGGAAUUUUGGGAUGGAAAAGUAGAAUCAGGGGAAAUUUCUCUGUGGAAAAGGGGCUGAAAUCUGGGAUUGGGAAAAGUAUUUUGGGAUGGGAAAGGGAAUUUCUCUGUGCAAAAGGAAAUCUGGGAAUGGGAGGAAUUUUGGGAUUGAAAAGGGGGAAUCAGGGAAUUUCUCUGUGGAAAAGGAGCUGAAAUCUGGGACUGGGAGGAAUUUUGGGAUGGGAAAGGGAAUUUCUCCGGAAUUUCUCCAUGGAAAAGGAGCUGAAAUCUGGGACUGGGAGGAAUUUUUGGGAUGGAAAGGGGAAUCAAGAGGAAUUUCUCUGUGGAAAAGGAGCUGGAAUCUGGGAUUGGGAGGAAUUUGGGAUGGAAAAGGGGAAUUUCUCCAUGGAAAAGGAGCUGAAAUCUGGGAUUGGG